rnacentral:misc_RNA from 1 species
AUCGGAAUGUGAUACAGAUCAUUUUAGGGGGAAUGAUCACUUAAUUGCUGGUUUGGUUGAUGAUGAAGAAGAUGCCCCUUUCACAACAGUAACUGGACAUGAAGCAUUUGUAACCACAUAGUUGCUAACACUCCCAAGUAACACCCUUUUGAUACGGCCUAAACCCCUGCUUCCAAUGACAAUAGAAUCAAGCUUGAGAUCAUCCACAGCAUCACACAGCUUCUCCCUUGGAUCUCCCCAGUAAACCUUUGCCACCACCUUGGCCCCUUUGGUGUUGGAGACUGUAUCAAGAAUAUUAAGAACCUCAGGAUCAUGACUGAGUCCAUACUGCUUUGAAUAAUUGAUCUCCCUGAAUUCCUCAAGAGGAACCAAAGCUGAAAAUUGAACAAGACAAUUAAUUAAUGAAACUAUAUUUGAAGUAAUUAAUUAAGAAAUAUGUGAUAUACGUGAUCCUGUGGCUUCAAAAAGCUGCUUCCUGGUAUGAUCGGCUUUGGGUGGCUGAACUUGGAUAAGGAUAAUCCUAUCUCCAGGAUCGAUCAGAUUUUCUGCUACCCAUCUGAGAGCUGCUUUGCUGGUCGGAGAGUAGUCCAUGCCUAUACCAACUGUACGUGCUUUGCCCAUCUCAGCUAUUGUUAUGGACCUUUGUUGUUCAGUAUUUCCUCUCUAUACAGAUUCUUUUUGGGAUUCUAUAUAUAGCAGAAUUGGGAGCUUCUUGAAGGUACUAGCAACAGGCUUUCUUUCAAUUAUAUAUGUAAAGAGGCUAAGCAAAAGCUAUUCCAACUUUAUUCCAUGGUGAUAAAAAAAUUUAUCUUAUAGAAACCAAAUCUGGACUAAAGAGA